rnacentral:misc_RNA from 1 species
GAUGAAGAACGCAGCGAAAUGCGAUACGUAAUGUGAAUUGCAGAAUUCAGUGAAUCAUCGAGUCUUUGAACGCACAUUGCGCCCCUUGGUAUCCCGAGGGGCAUGCCUGUUCGAGCGUCAUUUCACCACUCAAGCCUGGCUUGGUGUUGGGCGACGUCCCCUUUGGGGACGCGCCUCGAAACGCUCGGCGGCGUGGCACCGGCUUUAAGCGUAGCAGAAUCUUUCGCUUUGGAAGUCGGGGCCCCGUCUGCCGGAAGACCUACUCGCAAGGUUGACCUCGGAUCAGGCAGGGAUACCCGCUGAACUUAAGCAUAUCAAUAAGCGGAGGA